UUUAAAUUAUAGUUCUUUUUCUACUGUGCAGUAUACGAUGUCAACAAAGUGUCUAAAGUGGGGAUAAACGGUCCUAGCGAAGAACCCCUCUUGCCCCUGUGCGUCCUUCUUUUCACCAGUGAACAGUAGGUACUUAUAUACUCUGGCGUGAAGUGUCAUUCGUAAAUUCAAUCCGCAAAAUGCUACAUGUAUCAUUUACAAUUGUUCGUGAAUCUGAAGGACGUAAAUACGAAAUUAGAAAACCUGUCUUUCUUACCAGUGAAUGUCGAAUGGUGAUGAAAUUGAGCGAUAAGUGAAUCAAAGGAAGCAGAAAAGGAGGAAGAUAGAAUUCGCCAUGUUACGAGAAAUUUAAUACUCGAGAGAGAGUUUUUUGGAUGUUGCCUUCGAUCCAAUUGUGGAUCCUCGCUUCGGUGAAAACUUUGAACGAUAGGUUACGUUCUGCUCGUGUAUACAUAUUCGUCCUCCGCGGUUGACCGUUUAUCGAUCGGGUGUACAACGUGCGCGCGCGCGCGUGUGUGUAACGAUAUUUAAUUUCGCUACAAUUUGCAAACGACGCAACACCGAUCGCAACAAUAAUUCUCGAGGAAAGAACGCGUCGCCGGAAUUCCCGUUCAACUUCUCUCUUCGUAAUUGCUUACGAUAGUCGCCGUGCUCUUUACUCGAGCACCUCCGUUCGAUUUUCACUUCUAUCGUUUCCGCCUUCGAUCGUCCUUUCUUAUGCCCCAUUUCGUUCCCCCUCGGUUUUCCACCAAUUUACCGUUCUCUCGAUCCGUGUCCAAUAUUGUUCCGUGGCUAUGAUAGAAACAUCAAACAUUUUUCUUUCUAUUUCCCUCAAUUCGAGAACAAUAAUUCCGAAUAAUUUCUUAUAUAAAAGACUUAACAAACAUGAAUACAGUUCUGGAAACUUGAUCUUAAGAGAGCUCGAAACGACAAAGAUUUCUUAAGUAUCGUCAUUACCUAUUGAAAAAGCAACUAGUUAAAAAUAAUGAUCGAAUAAAAUCACUUCGAUUAAUUACUUAUUAAAAUGCUUAAAUAACAUUUAUUAUUUGUAACUUUUCAUAUAAUCUUGACCAUCUUUUGCUAUUAUUUGCGAUUAUUAUUAUUUUAAACGAUAAAUUAUCGAAAUAAUUCAACUAUUAAAUUUUCUCCGUUAUUGGAUAUCCACUAUAUUCCGAUGUAAAGAUAUACAUCGUCUCAUCGCUAGUGUUUCACCGGAUAAGUUUCCAACAGUCUCUUUAUUGAUGCACUCCUUUCGAAACGAUAGUAUUCGAAUGGAAAAUUCGUUCGUUGGUUUCAUCGAUAACCGAUCGAAAGCGGCCCCUCGUACGUUACUAAUAUAUUCCCCGAUCUUUUCCUCGAUUAAUCGACCAAACAUCUUGCGCAUUAAGAAUGCUCUCGUGCUCGGUCCAUCGAUUGUGGGAAGAAAUUUCAAUCGGAAAACGUGACAAGCAUUAAUGAUCGUUCAACCGUCCCCUCUUGUCUUUUGCCCCACGUUUUUAUCCGCCUUAUUUUCGAUUAGAUGUCGUUAACGAAAACUUAUCUCCUAUUCCGACCCGCGUAUAACCCCAUCAAAACAUACGAGAAACUGCAACUUUUCGAAAUUCCUAAUUCCAUAAACUGGAAUUAGGAAGGUAACGAGGAAAAAUGGUAUCGAAAGAUUAACGGAUAAAAAUUGUUUAAAACUUUUAAAUUCGAUUACUCGCGCGUCGAUACAACCCGCAUAUUUUUCACCUGCACGAGAAUCAUCUAUCAUCGAGUUUUUUCACCUCGAGAAUUAUCACGAGUUGGAAACAAAAUAUCGAACGUCGAACUCAUCGAUCGAUGGAACAAAGAAGUAAGGAACGAUUCGCCGCGCGUACCAACGUAUUUUAGGAAGCGACAACGUGACUUGCUCUCUGUCGGUGGGGAACAGGAAACGAGGGGAAAAAGCAGGGAAAGCAAUUUUCCCUGGAAAGACGGUGACGUCCGAAAAAAAAAAAAAACAAGUUUUUGAUUCGCAUUUAUAACAGUUUUGCAGGCAAAACUCAACUCUCGACGUCAACCAUGCCAACAGAAUUAAUUACUUUACCCAACUAAUUACACACCAUCGAUCGUUCCUUUGUUUCCCGUUUCCUUCGCCGAAUAGGUCGCGCGUGACUUCUAUUUCACCUUCGACGAAUAAAAAAGUGAAUGUAAACAAACAAGUUUCGCUUCGAAAUCGGUCA